rnacentral:rRNA from 1 species
CGAGCGGAUGAGGGAGCUUGCUCCUGGAUUCAACGGCGGACGGGUGAGUAAUGCCUAGGAAUCUGCCUGGUAGUGGGGGAUAACGUCCGGAAACGGGCGCUAAUACCGCAUACGUCCUGAGGGAGAAAGUGGGGGAUCUUCGGACCUCACGCUAUCAGAUGAGCCUAGGUCGGAUUAGCUAGUUGGUGGGGUAAAGGCCUACCAAGGCGACGAUCCGUAACUGGUCUGAGAGGAUGAUCAGUCACACUGGAACUGAGACACGGUCCAGACUCCUACGGGAGGCAGCAGUGGGGAAUAUUGGACAAUGGGCGAAAGCCUGAUCCAGCCAUGCCGCGUGUGUGAAGAAGGUCUUCGGAUUGUAAAGCACUUUAAGUUGGGAGGAAGGGCAGUAAGUUAAUACCUUGCUGUUUUGACGUUACCAACAGAAUAAGCACCGGCUAACUUCGUGCCAGCAGCCGCGGUAAUACGAAGGGUGCAAGCGUUAAUCGGAAUUACUGGGCGUAAAGCGCGCGUAGGUGGUUCAGCAAGUUGGAUGUGAAAUCCCCGGGCUCAACCUGGGAACUGCAUCCAAAACUACUGAGCUAGAGUACGGU